CCUACGGGGGGCUGCAGUGGGGAAUAUUGCACAAUGGGGGAAACCCUGAUGCAGCGACGCCGCGUGAGUGAAGAAGUAAUUCGUUAUGUAAAGCUCUAUCAGCAGGGAAGAAAAUGACGGUACCUGAGUAAGAAGCCCCGGCUAACUACGUGCCAGCAGCCGCGGUAAUACGGAGGGGACAAGCGCUAGCCGGAUUUACUGGGUGUAAAGGGAGCGUAGACGGCAGUGCAAGGCUGGAGUGAAAGGCGGGGGCUCAACCCCCGGACGGCUCUGGAAACUGGACGGCUGGAGUGCAGGAGAGGUGAGUGGAAUUCCUAGUGUAGCGGUGAAAUGCGUAGAUAUAAGGAGGAACACCAGUGGCGAAGGCGGCUUACUGGUCUGUAACUGACGUUGAGGCUCGAAAGCGUGGGGAGCAAACAGGAUUAGAUACCCUUGUAGUC
rnacentral:rRNA from 1 species